rnacentral:rRNA from 1 species
UACAGAGGUCUCAAGCGUUGUUCGGAUUCAUUGGGCGUAAAGGGUGCGUAGGCGGCGCGGUAAGUCGGGUGUGAAAUCUCGGAGCUUAACUCCGAAACUGCAUUCGAUACUGCCGUGCUUGAGGACUGGAGAGGAGACUGGAAUUUACGGUGUAGCGGUGAAAUGCGUAGAUAUCAGGAGGAACACCGGUGGCGAAGGCGGCUUCCUGGACAAAAACUGACGCUGAGGCGCGAAAGCUAGGGGAGCAAACAGG